GGACUCUCUGUGGAAGUUGGUUUUCGUUGCAUUUGGUGGUAGCGUGGCUUGAAGCGUGGUAGGGGAAAAGAUAGGUAAAUGUUCUAGUGUCACUGUCGGUGAGGCUAGCCUGUAAGUAUCGGAAAGACGCUUCGAGAGCAAUUUACGAAGCGCCAUUGAUGAGGGAGAAGCUGAGGCCAGGCGUAUAGAAAGCGGAAAGUUUUG
rnacentral:misc_RNA from 1 species